rnacentral:rRNA from 1 species
AGUUUGAUCAUGGCUCAGAACGAACGCUGGCGGCGUGGAUAAGACAUGCAAGUCGGACGAGAUUUCAUCCUGUAGCAAUACGGGAAGAAGUCUAGUGGCGAACGGGUGCUUAACACGUGGGCAAUCUGUCUUAAAGUGGGGGAUAGCUCGGCGAAAGCCGAAUUAAUACCGCAUGUGAUUAGAGUGGACAUCCAUUCAAAAUCAAAGUCGGGGCAACCUGACGCUUUUUGAGGAGCCCGCGGCCUAUCAGCUAGUUGGUGAGGUAACGGCUCACCAAGGCUUUGACGGGUAGCUGGUCUGAGAGGACGACCAGCCACACUGGGACUGAGACACGGCCCAGACACCUACGGGUGGCAGCAGUCGAGAAUUUUUCUCAAUGGGGGAAACCCUGAAGGAGCGACGCCGCGUGGAGGAUGAAGGUCUUCGGAUUGUAAACUCCUGUCAUUGGGGAACAAGGUGCAUACGUUAACUGCGUGUGCAUUGAUAGUACCCGAAGAGGAAGAGACGGCUAACUCUGUGCCAGCAGCCGCGGUAAUACAGAGGUCUCAAGCGUUGUUCGGAUUCAUUGGGCGUAAAGGGUGCGUAGGCGGCGCGGUAAGUCGGGUGUGAAAUCUCGGAACUUAACUCCGAAACUGCAUUCGA